GGUCCGGUGCGCGCGCCGCAAGGGCCGGCGAGGGCGUCCUGCGAACGAGCGUAAGGCGGCGCGCGCUGUCCGGGCCGCCACGGGCGCGAGAAGGGGCGGGAGCGAGCGCCGGCCGGCGGCGCGCGCCAGGCGCAGACAGCCCAGAACGCGCGCCGAGCGCUUGCGCGGGGCCGACGGCCACCUAGGGGCGAGGAGCGCCGGGCACAGUCGCCGGCCAGCGCGCCUCUAGCCCACCUGCCGCCUGGCCAGAGAGGGGUGGACUAUGUGGCCAAGUGAAAUGGCCAGGACGCGAGCCCUCGGAGGAGCCGCCUCCGUGAAGUUCUAAGCUUGCCGGGCAGAGGCAGAGAGAAAGUUCAAAAUCAGGCUGCUGUGGUAGAAACUAACGAGACAGGAGACUGUCGCGGCCGAGCAGAGGAGACGGCAGAAAGAUGCUAGGAAGACACUAGGAAAAAAUCGCUAUUACAGAUGAGGAAACAGGUUUGAAGAGGUUGACCUGCCCAAGAUCACACACAGUUAAGAAAUUGACAAGCAGUUUCAUAAAUGUAUAUGGAAAUGCAAAGGACCUAGAAGGAACCAAACAAUCCUGGAAAAGCAAACAAGCUGGAGGACUUAUACUACCUGACUUCAAUACCUACUAUAAAACUUCAGUAUUGGGGCACCUGGGUGGCUCAGUCAGUUAAGCGUCUGCCUUUGGCUCAGGUCAUGAUCCUGGAGUCCUGGGAUCCAGCUCCCGCUCAGUGAGGAGUCUGCUUCUCCCUCUCCCUCUGCCCUUCACUCCUGUUCUCUCUCACUCAUUCUCUCUCUCAAAUAAAUAAAGUCUUUAAAAAAAAACUUCAGUAUUAAGACAGUGUGAUGCUGACAUAUAGACAUAUAUGGAUAUAUGUGGAUAGACAUAUAAAUCAAUGGAACUGAAUAGCAAACCCAUAAAUAACUCACAGGUAUAUGGUGAGUCAAAGGUACCAGAGCAAUCCAUUAGGAAAAGGAAAUCCCUUCAAUAAAUAGUAUUGCUAUUAUAAAUAAAGAUGCUAUGAACAGGUGAUUAUCCAUAUAAAGAAAAUGAACCUCAACCCCUACCUCAUACCAUACACAAAAAUUAAUUCAUGACAGACCUAAAUGUAAAAUCUAAAACUAUAAAACUUCUAGAAAAAAAUAGGAGACACGGGAGCAGGCAAAUUUUCUUAGACAUGACACAGAAAGCAGUAAUCAGAAAAGAAAGCAAGUGAUAAAUUAGACUUCAUCAAAAUAUAAAACUUCUGUUCAU